UAAUAGAUUCGUUUCACCUUCCUCUCUUUCUUCUUUUUUUAUAAACCACUUUGUAUUUACUUGCUUCCAUUCAAUCCGGAAAACUCCUCUAAAAAGUUCAAACAAUGACGAUGAAUUGAGAAAAAGAAAACGUCAUACGGAAUAGAAAUCGAGAUGAAUUAAAAGCAAUUUGCUACAUGGUCGUUACCAGAUCCUUGAAGAUGACGUAGGCUAUAAAGAAGAAUAGCACAAACAGGAUCUCAAACUCAGCUAAUCGGAAUAGAGAAAACACUGAGUCAACGAACCGAGUCAGAAUGGAGACGUCCCUCCUCAUACCGGCUCGAUUCGUUCCAGCACGACGCCCGAUCAUCCUUAUACAAUCCUCCCGCCGGUUUUGAUAACAGAUCUCCGCCGCUCGCUCGCUCGCUCCUCUUACCGGCGAGUUCAUAAUAAUUGUCAACGAAAAGGUAUUUUGGUUUUUUGAACCAACUAAUUUCAACAGAAUAUAAAUCUUAGUUAUUAUGGAAUAUACCCAAACUGAGUUGGUUAAUGAUGAACAUAGAAACGAGAAGGCGUUCAUUUUGAUUUAUAUACAAUGCAAUUUCUGUUCUUAGUCUAUUGGCUGUAUUGCUUUCAUUUCUGGAUAUGUAACGUCUUCUUUGUGGACAAUGAUGUGUCUCUAUGCCGGAGAGUUGUGAUCCUUACGAGUUCGAUCAUUUUUAACUAGCAUUUCUUCAGUUGUGUAAGCUGAGAAGCAUAACCCAGACAGAAAUGUGAUAUUUUACGUCUAAAAAAAAGAAUAAGCAUUAUUAGGUCUGAUUUCUUUGGAACUUCUCUCUGUUUGUGGAGUUCAAGAUUGUCUGAUAUGAGCUUAUGGUCAUAUCAGACUACUAAAUUGGUGGCAUCCGUUAGGUACACGAAUAUCCACUUACCUCAAAAGUUAAGUAAAGUAUAUACAUAGCGAUGGCGAGUUUAAGUUCUGUUAAAUUCUGACAUUAGUUUUUCUUUUCUUCAGUUUCAACAAUUACGUGUACUUGCUGCUUCUAUGUAUUAAAUAGAUUAGAGUCAGAAGUUCUGGUUUUGAGCUUUUUGUUUACUGAGAAGUAUGUGAGACAAGAGAAAGUAAUGGAGUUUCUUCUGUAUAGGUCAGAGGAAUUGAUAUGUCUAUGAUAUCUGAAUAGAUGGAGCUAGGGGCUAUUAAAUCAAGUUCUCAGCUAAACCAUAUGGUGCUUCCUGGGUUCUUUACUUGAAUUAAAAAAUUAGGAAAACCAGUUUUGGAUGUGGUGAAUAAUAUAAUGGAUCCAGAUUUCUCUAUGCUAAGGAAUGGUCAAGUUCAGUUCUCCUCAAAUAGCAAUGCUGAACUGUAUGAUUUUCUUUCGAUUGCUUCUGUGUUCAUUUUGACAAAAUAUUCAGCAGAAUGGGGGCAACCACCACCACUUAUCCUGCUUUUGUAGAGGUAAAUUUCUCACUGAGCCUUAACGUUUUUGUUUGCGAGUUGAUUCUCUGUGUCAAAAGUUUUUUCUCUUUCAUUUUAGCAGGUUUGACAGUGACUGAUUUUCUUUUUACACAUUUUGAGUAGUUAGUGGUCUCAUAUUCAAACAACUGUUUAUUUGGAUUCCAAAAGUCCUGAAAGAAAUCAGUCUCAAGUCUUCACCAAAUAAACACAAAAGAAGCGGUUAGUGUUGACAGACAUUGAUCAUCAACAGAAACGAACACCAAUACUCUCUAUACAGUGAUCAUGCUGAGAGAUUUCAAAGCUUAAUUUUGUUUUCUAACACCGCCACUGGAACUGGAAUCGCUGCGCUGUUCACCGUGUUACUCAGAUUUAUCAGUAAAUAAAUCUAUAACCUUUACUAAUAUCUCAAUUCACUUGCAGGUUAUGGCUUCUAAAGAAUGAGAUCAGAUUAAGUUACUCUCUUCCAUCUUUUAUUGAUAAAUGAAUAUCCAUUUGAAAUGCAGGUUCAAUACAUAUGGUACACAGGUAUGAUGCUUAGAAAGUAAGUUUGUAACUAAUUGGAUUAUCACCAGAGCAUCUAAUAUCCAAGGCGGGAUUCUUUUUCAUGUUACUUUUGCUUCUUAAAUUUCUCAUGUUGGACAAUUGCAUAAAAGUUUUCGCAUAUUACUGCAUAAAAGUUUUCGCCUAUCAUGCAUAUUUUUUUUGAGCUGAUAGCUGUCUGCUUUAUCCGUUUUACAUUGUUCUUCACCAUAUAAUAAAAUGAUUUUUAAGAACUUUCAAAUGUCAGGAGGGAGGAGGAUCAUAUCUUGGAGCAACGCUGCGUAAGAUGAUAACUUCAGCUCAGGAAACGAAGGUGCUGCAUCUUCUGAGAAAGUUAAUAUCAGUGUCUUCCGGGUAUAUAACCCAAUAAAAAGCUUGGAAAGUACAACAUCCAUUUGGUUUAAUUGGUUAAAGAUGGACACCAUUGAUGGUUGCUGGCUCAUGGCACCGGAACUGGCUCAAGGAAAUCUUGACCCCAACCACGGAUCAGUCACAAGGACAUCCAUAAAAAAAAGUAUACGGCUGGCGAGGAAAUGAUUGUCUAACUCUAUGUCGUGACCCUUUCCCUGACUGUUUGGAAAGAAAAUGCACCGUAGCUUCUGCUAAUGUAUCAAUUCUUCACUACCGGGGUAAACUAGAACACUGAAUUGAUUGUGUCUGUGACAUAACAGGAUGUGGUCAUAAGUUCUGAUCUAAGAACCAUGCAUAACAUCUUCAAAGACAUCACAAGCCACACUAGGGUCAUACCCUUGCCCUCUAUUUUUCUCCUACGAAAUUGUGUCUUUCUCCAAACUUCCAAUAACAACAAGACCAGCAACAUCUCAAGAACAAGUAUGUCGAAUGCAGCAAAGGCUCUAUACCACACGUGGUUACUAAAAAAUAAAUGGAAUAAGCAGUCAACUGAAACUCCUUUAGAAGCUUCUGUUUCUUCUACUCUAUGAAGUAGAGGAGGAGAGAGUUGGUGUACCUGUUAAGAGUGGUCUAUAUGAGGUACGAUCGUUCUCUCCAGUGUUUUAGAGUUUUCGUGUAAACUUAAACAUGAACCUUUAGAGUCUUUAUAUCCAGUCUAUGUUCUUGGACCAAGGAACUGGAAUAAUAUUGGUGAACUUGGUGAGGAGGCAUUGUUUCCCAUGUACUGGAAUGAAAAUAAUAAGUCUGUCCUUAGAGGUUGCAUACUGUAACAAGUCUGGCGCAGAAGGAGCUUUAAACCAUCUAGGCGUUUUGCAUGUGUAAAAAAUGUAAUUUUCCGAUAGGAGGGUUGCAUAGAUAGUGGUAAUACUGUCGUAAGUUGUUAAUGUAUUUGAUUCCAUGCUCUCUUUGCGGGGACGAUGCUACUUGGGAAGCUUAGCAUAAUGUUGAUUCCUCUGUGCUCCACACUACUACUAUUACUUUAAAAAUGUCUAGGCUUAUACACAUGUUCUCGAAAUUGUAGUUCUAAUGUUAAAGUCACACAUUUAUAUUAUUAUGAUUACGAAAUGAGAGUUACUCUUCACUUUC